GCUAUCUGCUUCCACCUCUGCAAGGGUCACAAUGCUCUCCACAUCCUUGCUCCUCUGCCUUCUACUAUUCUGGCCUCAAGCCCAGGCAGCCACCGUAAUGACCCAGACACCAGCCUCCCUGUCUGUGGCUCCAGGAGACACAGUCACCAUCACCUGCAAGGCCAGUUCCAGCGUUAACAAGGGGAUCAACUGGUUCCAGCAGAAACCAGGACAGUCUCCCAAGCGCCUGAUCUAUUCUGCUUCCUCCCUGCAGUCUGGGGUCCCUGCCCGGUUCAGUGGCAGUGGCUCUGGGACAGAUUUCACCUUCACCAUCAGUGGUUUAGAGGCUGAGGAUGUUGCAGAUUAUUACUGUUUGCAAUAUUAUAAUCAUCCAUUCCCACAGUGUUUCAGCCCGGAACAGAAACCUCCCCAGGCUGCUCAGUCCUUCACUAUAGGGGAGCAGCUGCUGUCACAGGCUUUGGCCAACCACUGCCCUCAGGGGAGAAUUGGGCCUAAUUCAGCUCUGUUGCAGGAGCCACUUGUCCCAGGGGCUCUGGUUGAGCCAGAAAAAGAAAUCCAGGAUACACAAAGUGGAAGGAACAGUCCCUACACUUCUUGA